rnacentral:rRNA from 1 species
UACGUAGGCGGUUAAAUAAGUCAGGUGUAAAAGGCAUUGGCUCAACCAAUGUAAGCACUUGAAACUGUUUGACUUGAGUAUAGGAGAGGUAAGUGGAAUUCCUAGUGUAGCGGUGAAAUGCGUAGAUAUUAGGAGGAACACCAGUGGCGAAGGCGACUUACUGGACUAUUACUGACGCUGAGGUACGAAAGCGUGGGGAGCAAACAA